rnacentral:rRNA from 1 species
CAGGCCUAACACAUGCAAGUCGAACGCACCUUCGGGUGAGUGGCAGACGGGUGAGUAACACGUGGGAACGUGCCUUUCGGUUCGGAAUAACUCAGGGAAACUUGAGCUAAUACCGGAUACGCCCUUACGGGGAAAGGUUUACUGCCGAAGGAUCGGCCCGCGUCUGAUUAGCUAGUUGGUGAGGUAACGGCUCACCAAGGCGACGAUCAGUAGCUGGUCUGAGAGGAUGAUCAGCCACACUGGGACUGAGACACGGCCCAGACUCCUACGGGAGGCAGCAGUGGGGAAUAUUGGACAAUGGGCGAAAGCCUGAUCCAGCCAUGCCGCGUGAGUGAUGAAGGCCUUAGGGUUGUAAAGCUCUUUCGACGGGGACGAUAAUGACGGUACCCGUAGAAGAAGCCCCGGCUAACUUCGUGCCAGCAGCCGCGGUAAU